AGAAGCCGCAAGGUUCAGGGCAUUUCUUUAGCAUGAAAUAAUCAGAUGAUAGUACUUGGCACAUUAGUUAUACCUGGUCAUUAACACAAAUAGCCAAAAAGCAAUUCACAUGGCAACAGCUCAAUAUAUAAACCAUGUGUGCAUAGCCAAGCAGCCUAGGCAUUUUAAGGAAUCGGUGGUUUCAGCAUCUCAAAUGCAGCUGACCUCUAGAGAUUUUCUUCUAAAGACAGAGGCCAGAGGAGAAUAACUAGAACAACCACAAACGAUCAAAUAACCACUCCUUUGCUUCAAUAAUGUGAAGAACGACUUCUCUAAAUUCACAGUACAUUGAACCUUGAAGUAGAUGAACUACCGCAUCAGAAGACCACUGUACUAGAUGGGUACCUAAUGAAGUGUACAUUGAGUGUUGUAGAUUCCCAGCAUCACCUAUGAGACAGAAAAAGACCACACGCAAGCUUCAUAGCAUAGAAUACUAAACGACAAGUCUAGUUUAUUCCAAAGAACAAAAGAUGAGUCAAACAAAAAAGCUAGAAGGCUUAUGUGCAAUUAUGAAAGCAGCAACACAAACUGCAAUCUACUGAAAUCCAGCAAAAUCCAGUACCUAACAAGUUCAUGUAAAAAUAAAAAAGAUAGGUUUCCUGAAGCCAAAGUGCUAUAUAUUCUUUAGACUUGACGUGCUCUCAUUAUGGCCACUACUGGGACAGGAAAAAGAA